rnacentral:rRNA from 1 species
UACGUAGGUGGCAAGCGUUAUCCGGAUUUACUGGGUGUAAAGGGCGUGUAGGCGGGAGUGCAAGUCAGAUGUGAAAACCACGGGCUCAACCUGUGGCCUGCAUUUGAAACUGUACUUCUUGAGUACUGGAGAGGCAGACGGAAUUCCUAGUGUAGCGGUGAAAUGCGUAGAUAUUAGGAGGAACACCAGUGGCGAAGGCGGCCUGCUGGGCUUUAACUGACGCUGAUGCACGAAAGCAUGGGGAGCAAACAGG